UCCUUGGUGGUCCAGUGGUUAGGACUCUGUGCUUUCACUGCCCUGGGCCCAGGCUCAAUCCCUGGUCAGGGAA
rfam:Ovis aries breed Texel chromosome 14, whole genome shotgun sequence.